ensembl:lncRNA
UGAUAGGUGAUGAUAGAUGAUGAUGAUAGGUGGUGAUGAUAGGUGAUGAUAGAUGAUGAUGAUAGGUGAUGAUGACAGGGGGUGAUAGGUGAUGAUGAUACAUGAUGAUAGGUGAUGAUAUAUGAUGGUAGGUGAUGAUGAUACAUGAUGUCAGAUGAUGAUAGGUGAUGAUAGGUGAUGAUGAUAUAUGAUGGUAGGUGAUGAUGAUACAUGAUGGUAGGUGAUGAUAGAUGAUGAUAGAUGAUGAUGAUAGGUGAUGAUAGGUGAUGAUAGAUGAUGAUGAUAGGUGAUGAUAGGUGGUGAUGAUAGGUGAUGAUUGAUGAUGAUAGGUGGUGAUGAUAGGUGGUGAUGAUAGGUGAUGAUAGCUUCAUGCAAUACC